ACGAUGUUCCGCUGUAAUGAAAGCUUAUUUAUAAGAGCAUCUG
rfam:Anaerobacillus macyae strain DSM 16346 super1, whole genome shotgun sequence.